GUUGAAACAUCGGUUCACGUAACAACAACCGAAGUUAAGCAACGUCGAUCCUGGUCAGUACUUAGAUGGGUGACCGCUUGGGAAUAACAGGUGCUGUAAG